CUUGGCGACCAUAGCGUUUUGGACCCACCUGAACCCAUUCCGAACUCAGAAGUGAAACGAAAUAGCGUCGAUGGUAGUGUGGGGUCUCCCCAUGUGAGAGUAGAACAUCGCCAGGC
rnacentral:rRNA from 1 species